UUAUCGGAGAGUUUGAUCCUGGCUCAGGACGAACGCUGGCGGCGUGCCUAAUACAUGCAAGUCGAGCGGACAGAUGGGAGCUUGCUCCCUGAUGUUAGCGGCGGACGGGUGAGUAACACGUGGGUAACCUGCCUGUAAGACUGGGAUAACUCCGGGAAACCGGGGCUAAUACCGGAUGGUUGUUUGAACCGCAUGGUUCAGACAUAAAAGGUGGCUUCGGCUACCACUUACAGAUGGACCCGCGGCGCAUUAGCUAGUUGGUGAGGUAACGGCUCACCAAGGCGACGAUGCGUAGCCGACCUGAGAGGGUGAUCGGCCACACUGGGACUGAGACACGGCCCAGACUCCUACGGGAGGCAGCAGUAGGGAAUCUUCCGCAAUGGACGAAAGUCUGACGGAGCAACGCCGCGUGAGUGAUGAAGGUUUUCGGAUCGUAAAGCUCUGUUGUUAGGGAAGAACAAGUGCCGUUCAAAUAGGGCGGCACCUUGACGGUACCUAACCAGAAAGCCACGGCUAACUACGUGCCAGCAGCCGCGGUAAUACGUAGGUGGCAAGCGUUGUCCGGAAUUAUUGGGCGUAAAGGGCUCGCAGGCGGUUUCUUAAGUCUGAUGUGAAAGCCCCCGGCUCAACCGGGGAGGGUCAUUGGAAACUGGGGAACUUGAGUGCAGAAGAGGAGAGUGGAAUUCCACGUGUAGCGGUGAAAUGCGUAGAGAUGUGGAGGAACACCAGUGGCGAAGGCGACUCUCUGGUCUGUAACUGACGCUGAGGAGCGAAAGCGUGGGGAGCGAACAGGAUUAGAUACCCUGGUAGUCCACGCCGUAAACGAUGAGUGCUAAGUGUUAGGGGGUUUCCGCCCCUUAGUGCUGCAGCUAACGCAUUAAGCACUCCGCCUGGGGAGUACGGUCGCAAGACUGAAACUCAAAGGAAUUGACGGGGGCCCGCACAAGCGGUGGAGCAUGUGGUUUAAUUCGAAGCAACGCGAAGAACCUUACCAGGUCUUGACAUCCUCUGACAAUCCUAGAGAUAGGACGUCCCCUUCGGGGGCAGAGUGACAGGUGGUGCAUGGUUGUCGUCAGCUCGUGUCGUGAGAUGUUGGGUUAAGUCCCGCAACGAGCGCAACCCUUGAUCUUAGUUGCCAGCAUUCAGUUGGGCACUCUAAGGUGACUGCCGGUGACAAACCGGAGGAAGGUGGGGAUGACGUCAAAUCAUCAUGCCCCUUAUGACCUGGGCUACACACGUGCUACAAUGGACAGAACAAAGGGCAGCGAAACCGCGAGGUUAAGCCAAUCC
rnacentral:rRNA from 1 species